rnacentral:rRNA from 1 species
GACGAACGCUGGCGGCGUGCCUAAUACAUGCAAGUCGAACGCAGUGGGGACGGGUGAGUAACACGUGGGUAACCUCCCAUCAGAGGGGAUAACACUUGUAAUCAGGUGCUAAACCGAUAGUGAUGGAUGGACCCGCGGUGCAUUAGCUCGUUGGUGAUGUACCGGCACACCAAGGCCACGAUGCAUAGCCGACCUGAGAGGGUGACCAGCCACACUGGGACUGAGACACGGCCCAGACUCCUACGGGAGGCAGCAGUAGGGAAUCUUCGGCAAUGGACGAAAGUCUGACCGAGCAACGCCGCGUGAGUGAAGAAGGUUUUCGGAUCGUAAAACUCUGUUGGUAGAGAAGCGGUAUCUAACCAGAAAGCCACGGCUAACUACGUGCCAGCAGCCGCGGUAAUUC